CAGCAGCCGCGGGAAUACGAAGGGUGCAAGCGUUAAUCGGAAUUACUGGGCGUAAAGCGUGCGUAGGCGGUUUGUUAAGUCUGCUGUGAAAUCCCCGGGCUCAACCUGGGAAUUGCAGUGGAUGCUGGGUCACUAGAGUGUGGUAGAGGAUAGCGGAAUUUCCGGUGUAGCAGUGAAAUGCGUAGAGAUCGGAAGGAACAUCUGUGGCGAAGGCGACUAUCUGGGCCAACACUGACACUGAGGCACGAAAGCGUGGGGAGCAAACAGGAUUAGAUACCCCCGUAGUCCCUGUCUCUUAUAC
rnacentral:rRNA from 1 species